UUCAGUCGUGAGGAAGGUAGUGUAGUUAAUAGCUGCAUUAUUUGACGUUAGCGACAGAAGAAGCACCGGCUAACUCCGUGCCAGCAGCCGCGGUAAUACGGAGGGUGCGAGCGUUAAUCGGAAUUACUGGGCGUAAAGCGCAUGCAGGUGGUUUGUUAAGUCAGAUGUGAAAGCCCGGGGCUCAACCUCGGAAUUGCAUUUGAAACUGGCAGACUAGAGUACUGUAGAGGGGGGUAGAAUUUCAGGUGUAGCGGUGAAAUGCGUAGAGAUCUGAAGGAAUACCGGUGGCGAAGGCGGCCCCCUGGACAGAUACUGACACUCAGAUGCGAAAGCGUGGGGAGCAAACAGGAUUAGAUACCCUGGUAGUCCACGCCGUAAACGAUGUCUACUUGGAGGUUGUGGCCUUGAGCCGUGGCUUUCGGAGCUAACGCGUUAAGUAGACCGCCUGGGGAGUACGGUCGCAAGAUUAAAACUCAAAUGAAUUGACGGGGGCCCGCACAAGCGGUGGAGCAUGUGGUUUAAUUCGAUGCAACGCGAAGAACCUUACCUACUCUUGACAUCCAGAGAACUUUCCAGAGAUGGAUUGGUGCCUUCGGGAACUCUGAGACAGGUGCUGCAUGGCUGUCGUCAGCUCGUGUUGUGAAAUGUUGGGUUAAGUCCCGCAACGAGCGCAACCCUUAUCCUUGUUUGCCAGCGAGUAAUGUCGGGAACUCCAGGGAGACUGCCGGUGAUAAACCGGAGGAAGGUGGGGACGACGUCAAGUCAUCAUGGCCCUUACGAGUAGGGCUACACACGUGCUACAAUGGCGCAUACAGAGGGCAGCCAACUUGCGAAAGUGAGCGAAUCCCAAAAAGUGCGUCGUAGUCCGGAUUGGAGUCUGCAACUCGACUCCAUGAAGUCGGAAUCGCUAGUAAUCGUGGAUCAGAAUGCCACGGUGAAUACGUUCCCGGGCCUUGUACACACCGCCCGUCACACCAUGGGAGUGGGCUGCAAAAGAAGUAGGUAGUUUAACCUUCGGGGGGACGCUUACCACUUUGUGGUUCAUGACUGGGGUGAAGUCGUAACAAGGUAGCGCUAGGGGAACCUGGCGCUG
rnacentral:rRNA from 1 species